UAGGGAAAUAUUGCGCACUGGAGGAAACUCUGAACGCAGCGACGCCGCGUGGGUGAUGAAGGUUUUCGGAUCGUAAAGCCCUGUCGGGAGGGACGAAAAACGGAAUGGCUAACAUCCAUACCGCUUGACGGUACCUCCAAAGGAAGCACCGGCUAACUACGUGC
rnacentral:rRNA from 1 species